UACGUAGGGUGCAGGCGUUAAUCGGAAUUACUGGGCGUAAAGCGCGCGCAGGCGGCUUUCUAAGUCCGUCGGUGAAAGACCGGGGCUCAACCCCGUGUCAGCCAUGGAUACUGGGAGGCUGGAGACAGGUAGAGGCAAGCGGAAUUCCGGGUGUAGCGGUGGAAUGCGUAGAUAUCCGGAAGAACACCGGAGGCGAAGGCGGCUUGCUGGACCUGGUCUGACGCUGAGGCGCGAAAGCGUGGGGAGCAAACAGG
rnacentral:rRNA from 1 species